rnacentral:sRNA from 1 species
UAGCCAUGUGAGCACCUUGGCCAGAUUAAUCUCUUUUCCCUCCAUGAUGGUGGCAGGGGCAGGAGCUGACUUCGUGAUGCUGGGUGGCAUGCUGGCUGGGCACAGUGAGUCAGGUGGUGAGCUCAUCGAGAGGGACGGCAAGAAGUACAAGCUCUUCUAUGGAAUGAGUUCUGAAAUGGCCAUGAAGAAGUAUGCCGGGGGCGUGGCUGAGUACAGAGCUUCAGAGGGAAAGACAGUGGAAGUUCCUUUUAAAGGAGAUGUGGAACAUACCAUCCGAGACAUCCUAGGAGGGAUCCGCUCUACGUGUACCUAUGUGGGAGCAGCUAAGCUCAAAGAAUUGAGCAGGAGAACUACCUUCAUCCGAGUCACCCAGCAGGUGAAUCCAAUCUUCAGUGAGGCGUGCUAGACCUGAGCAGUUCUACCCUCCCAAGGCACCAGUACUCUACUAUGGGGCAUCCCAAGUGGGG